UACGGAGGGUGCAAGCGUUAUCCGGAUUCACUGGGUUUAAAGGGUGCGUAGGUGGGCAGGUAAGUCAGUGGUGAAAUCUCCGGGCUUAACCCGGAACUGCCGUUGAUACUAUCUGUCUUGAAUAUCCUGGAGGUGAGCGGAAUAUGUCAUGUAGCGGUGAAAUGCUUAGAUAUGACAUAGAACACCAAUUGCGAAGGCAGCUCACUACGGGAUCAUUGACACUGAGGCACGAAAAGCGUGGGGAGUCAAACAGGA
rnacentral:rRNA from 1 species